rnacentral:rRNA from 1 species
GAUGAACGCUGGCGGCGUGCCUAAUACAUGCAAGUCGAGCGAACGGACGAGAAGCUUGCUUCUCUGAUGUUAGCGGCUGACGGGUGAGUAACACGUGGAUAACCUACCUAUAAGACUGGGGUAACUUCGGGAAACCGGAGCUAAUACUGGAUAAUAUUUUGAACGGCAUGGUUCAAAAGUGAAAGGCGGUCUGGCUGUCACUUAGAGAUGGAUCCGCGCUGCAUUAGCUAGUUGGUAAGGUAACGGCUUACCAAGGCAACGAUGCAUAGCCGACCUGAGAGGGUGAUCGGCCACACUGGAACUGAGACACGGUCCAGACUCCUACGGGAGGCAGCAGUAGGGAAUCUUCCGCAAUGGGCGCAAGCCUGACGGAGCAACGCCGCGUGAGUGAUGAAGGUCUUCGGAUCGUAAAACUCUGUUAUUAGGGAAGAACAUAUGUGUAAGUAACUGUGCACAUCUUGACGGUACCUAAUCAGAAAGCCACGGCUAACUACGUG